rnacentral:rRNA from 1 species
UACCUUGUUACGCCUUCACCCCAAUCAUCUGUCCCACCUUCGGCGGCUGGUUCCAUAAGGUUACCUCACCGACUUCGGGUGUUACAAACUCUCGUGGUGUGACGGGCGGUGUGUACAAGGCCCGGGAACGUAUUCACCGCGGCAUGCUGAUCCGCGAUUACUAGCAAUUCCGGCUUCAUGCAGGCGAGUUGCAGCCUGCAAUCCGAACUGAGAAUGGCUUUAUGGGAUUCGCUCAACCUCGCGGUUUUGCUGCCCUUUGUACCAUCCAUUGUAGCACGUGUGUAGCCCAGGUCAUAAGGGGCAUGAUGAUUUGACGUCGUCCCCACCUUCCUCCGGUUUGUCACCGACAGUCACCUUAGAGUGCCCAACUGAAUGCUGGCAACUAAGAUCAAGGGUUGCGCUCGUUGCGGGACUUA